CCGCGCUACUUUGUUGCCAUCGCAACGUCAGUUUAGAACAACAUCUCCUAAGAUUGCUCAAGGUUCUUUAUACAAGGGACUCUCUCAACAUCUCACCCCCAAACAAGAAUCUGAAGUCAGGACAAAUGCCUGAAACCUGGAGACUUCAUCCAGGCAGCCACCAUUCAUGAGGGUAAGAGAGAGAGAAGGCUACCUACCUCAAAGCUCUGUCUUGGGAAUGGCUUUGGGUUCUGUCCCUUCCUGGCCGCUUUGAUCUUGGGUAAAUGUGUUAGCUUCAGUUCCCUUUCUAUGAAAUGGGCUAGUCGCACGCUCGCAGCACCUAACUUCAGAGACAGUUAAGGUGAAGGAAGUAAGAGAGUUAAAGUAAUGUCAGG
rnacentral:lncRNA from 1 species